rnacentral:rRNA from 1 species
GAUGAACGCUGGCGGCGUGCCUAACACAUGCAAGUCGAGCGAAUCCUUCGGGGUGAGCGGCGGACGGGUGAGUAACGCGUGGGUAACCUGCCCUGUACACACGGAUAACAUACCGAAAGGUAUGCUAAUACGAGAUAAUAUGUAAUGAUCGCAUGGUCAAUACAUCAAAGCUCCGGCGGUACAGGAUGGACCCGCGUCUGAUUAGCUAGUUGGUGAGGUAAUGGCUCACCAAGGCAACGAUCAGUAGCCGACCUGAGAGGGUGAUCGGCCACAUUGGAACUGAGACACGGUCCAAACUCCUACGGGAGGCAGCAGUGGGGAAUAUUGCACAAUGGGCGAAAGCCUGAUGCAGCAACGCCGCGUGAGCGAUGAAGGCCUUCGGGUCGUAAAGCUCUGUCCUCAAGGAAGAUAAUGACGGUACUUGAGGAGGAAGCCCCGGCUAACUACGUGCCAGCCGCCGCCGUAAAAC